GUGUAAUCUCAAUUGUAAUCUAAAUCUGCUCAGAAAUUACAGUUGAACUUCAUUUCCUCAGCCUGAAGUUUCAAGGGGAGGACUUAUAUUCUUACCUGCCGUAUGAGAAGAGAGGAGGUUUAUCUAAUGGGUGAGUUUGGGACAAGGAACUAAGAAGUGCUUGCUUGUUUCCAAAUCUUUUCUUUGAAAAUAUGUUAUGUACCCACAGCACCGUGAACGUGGGUCUGCAGUUGGCAGCCUGUGUCUGGGAUGGGGGUCAAGCAUUUGCUUCCUCCCCUUAGGCCUGCAUGGGGAAGUGUCUGACUUGGGAUGAAGUUUUCAGAGGCCCACUUUGACUGCACACCUAAAGCACGUCCUCCAGUUUCACAGCUCUCAAGUACUAAGACCCAACAUAGCCACAGUGCUGUCGAAGAAACUUUAGGUUGCUCUUCUAUGACGCAUCAGACCUUGUUUCUCAUAUUCGGCCUGAAGUUUUCUCACGAUCUGCUGAAACUGGUCUUGGAUGCUAAUGACCAUCUUCUCUUUACUGUUGGUUCUGUUUCGUGCAUUACCCAGUUGCUGUCAGAGCAACAUGUUUUCACUCUGGAGUUGAGAUAAUCUCUCCUCUAAGGAUUCCUGCUUUCCAAGGUAUGUAUUCACUUUGCCUUGUUCAUUCUUCAUACAUGUGUUCAAUUUCCUGCUUUUGACACUCUGAUUGCCUUAGAUCUCUCUGGACACGUUCUAACAUCAAAGUCUUUUCUCUAAGAUCAUCUCUCAUGUGAUGCAGCUUGAUUUUCAGCUUAUUGAAAAUAUUUUCCACUGUAGAUAGUUGCUGGGAAAGCGUCUCCUUGUUAUCUUUUAGAUUAGCCACAUCGUACUUCAUUUUGUCCCGCAAGCAUAACCACUUGUCUCUUGCUCUCUGGAAGGCAAGUUCCAGAUCUCUUUUUGAUGUUGGACCUUGAUCAUGAUCAUGUAAGGCAGCAGCCAGUCUAGAAUGGUAGGAUUUCACUUCCGUUUCCAAUCUCUGUUUACUUUCUUUUUCGUUCUCCAGCUUAGAGUUUAGCAUUGUAUUCUCAGCUGUCAGACCAUUAAGCUGGCCUGUAUAGUGGGAUAUAGUUUUUGUUAACAUUUCCUCGUUCAGUUUUAUUGCCUUUUAAAGAUCAUCAUUCUUUACUUUGAGAAUUUCAAUGUCCUCAAAAUAGUUCUCUUCCUUUUCCCAAUGCUGAUUUUUCAGUGCAUCUAUCUCCAGUCUUAGCAUGGGAAUUUCCUCCUGCAGCAUGUGCUUUUUUGUGCAACAGGUCUUCUAUUUCUUCACAACUAUCAUAAACUUAAGUGAAACAAAGGAGAUAUUUAGCUAGUAUUCAGUAAAGUGACAUUCCA
rnacentral:lncRNA from 1 species